rnacentral:rRNA from 1 species
GAUGAACGCUGGCGGCGUGCCUAAUACAUGCAAGUCGAGCGAACAGACGAGGAGCUUGCUCCUCUGACGUUAGCGGCGGACGGGUGAGUAACACGUGGAUAACCUACCUAUAAGACUGGGAUAACUUCGGGAAACCGGAGCUAAUACCGGAUAAUAUAUUGAACCGCAUGGUUCAAUAGUGAAAGACGGUUUUGCUGUCACUUAUAGAUGGAUCCGCGCCGCAUUAGCUAGUUGGUAAGGUAACGGCUUACCAAGGCAACGAUGCGUAGCCGACCUGAGAGGGUGAUCGGCCACACUGGAACUGAGACACGGUCCAGACUCCUACGGGAGGCAGCAGUAGGGAAUCUUCCGCAAUGGGCGAAAGCCUGACGGAGCACGCCGCGUGAGUGAUGAAGGUCUUCGGAUCGUAAAACUCUGUUAUUAGGGAAGAACAAAUGUGUAAGUAACUAUGCACGUCUUGACGGUACCUAAUCAGAAAGCCACGGCUAACUACGUG